rnacentral:rRNA from 1 species
AUUGAACGCUGGCGGCAUGCUUUACACAUGCAAGUCGAACGGUAACAGGGUGCUUGCACCGCUGACGAGUGGCGAACGGGUGAGUAAUGCGUCGGAACGUGCCGAGUAGUGGGGGAUAACGCAGCGAAAGUUGUGCUAAUACCGCAUACGUACUGAGGUAGAAAGUGGGGGACCUUCGGGCCUCACGCUAUUCGAGCGGCCGACGUCUGAUUAGCUAGUAGGGGAGGUAAAGGCUCACCUAGGCGACGAUCAGUAGCGGGUCUGAGAGGAUGAUCCGCCACACUGGGACGGAGACACGGCCCAGACUCCUACGGGAGGCAGCAGUGGGGAAUUUUGGACAAUGGGCGAAAGCCUGAUCCAGCCAUGCCGCGUGUCUGAAGAAGGCCUUCGGGUUGUAAAGGACUUUUGUCAGGGAGGAAAUCCCUAGCGUUAAUACCGCUGGGGGAUGACAGUACCUGAAGAAUAAGCACCGGCUAACUACGUGCCAGCCGCCGCAGUAACAC